GGUUCAAGAUGUGAUCAUAACGGUUCAAAACGCUCUGGAUGAAGUGGCCUGCUUUGGGGAACGAGUGAAGAACACGUUUAACUGGUCUGUGCCUUUUCUGAGCUGGUUAGCCAUAACGGUGCUAUGUGCCGGUGCCACGCUAAUAUACUUUAUCCCACUACGAUUCAUUGUGCUGGUCUGGGGUAUCAAUAAAUUCAUCAAAAAACUUCGGGACCCCUACAUCAUUGAGAACAAUGAGCUGCUGGACUUCCUGUCUAGAGUUCCAUCAGAUGUCCAGUUGGUUCAGUACAAAGAUCUCAAACCAGAGAAUUCUCAGAGUCCCAGCAAGAAAAGGAGGAACAACCCCGGAUAGAUCUUGAACUGUGACAUUACGUUUCUAAAUCAACCGCCUCCAAAGCACCGUUCACGUACAAAACACUGUGAAUGUUGCAAAGACUUUCAAAAGGAGAUUGUUUUAAAAAGAAUGAAAUAUUUCUAGCAUUAUUUAUGCAAACUUGCACAACUAUAAUAGCGCAAAACUCAACUGUUCAUAAAAUGUGCUUUUGAUUAUUUAUAGCUAUUCCCAUUUUUAUUCUGUGUCACUGAUUCACAAUGUGUCUUGAACAUUUUUAUUCAAAGAGAUUUCUGUGAAGAAAAAUGCUGCAAACCAGAUUCAAACUUGUGUCGCCCACGUGAGCACCAUAGCUCAAAAAACAUGUGCCUAACACUUGGUCACAGCUCCAACAGUCAGUUGAGACUAUAUAACGUAGAUUCUGGUGCAAAAAUAUCAGCCUGAAAAUGUCUUUCGUCUGCAUAAUUGAAUGUAUUAAAUGCAACUGGUCUGACCACAGCGGUUUUUUCUUGAAAACACGCCAAAACUUUACAGUGAACUUUGCACCUUUGAGGUCACUCUUCAAAGCAUUUUCCUUAGAAAAUAAUUUUUAUCUACAAGCACAUAUCAUAUGGAGAAACUGCAUGCUGUGCAUCUAAAGCGAAAGAAUGUAUGUGUGCAUGUAAAAAAAAAUUAUGACUGUAAAUAUACAAUGUGGAAACAUUUUUUAUGUUGUUCUGGACAUGUUUACCCAUGACAGGUGUCAUAUGCUAUGAUCACUGUUCAUAUGCUAUGAUGAAUGAUGAAAUGGUGUUUAAUUGUGAUAUUUGUACAUUGUGUUGCUUGUUAACGAUUCGUCAAUGGUCUAUGAGUAUGUAACUGUUAAGCGGAUAUACUCAAGGACAUAAAUUGUUAUUAGUUGGAGAAAAAGAAAAGGCAUGAAAAAGGCAUGUUUAUGCAGGGC